rnacentral:lncRNA from 9 species
CAUGGCUCUUGCGACCAGAGCUGUGUCCAGUGACUGUGGUGACAUAAGUAUCACAGCCAGCCAAAUCCUGCUGCCCAGCUUCCAGGACCCAUUGCGCCCUACUUCCCAAGUAUCUCCUCAUCCUCCCAGUGAUGCUGUGUACCCCAAUACCCUUCCAGAACAUUCCCUUGGUAUAGGUUUCUGUUGCUUGCCACAAGAACCCUGAUGGAUUCAGAAGGAAGUUCUUCAAAGUCUGUGAAAGGUAGAAAAAUGCCUCCACGUGGAGGGUUGGAAUGAAGCAUCCUUGGCCUGCCCAGAAGCCGGAAGGUGGUGCUGAGCUUCCCUUCUGCCGCCUCCUGGGUUUUCUGCCGCGGUGAUUCCUUCUUGGAGGGUAAAUAACAGAAAGUUGACUUUGACCCUCUUUUUUCCCAGGGAACAUGAAGCUCUUUCAUGCCCAGUUCUUAAUGCCGCCACAAUGUCGCCAAGACAUGGGAAAGGGGAGCUGAAGGUCCAGCCUGCCCCCGACAGCAAGUCAGAGGAGGCAUUAAAACCAACAACAGAACAUCCCUCUUCCCACCGAGGGCAGCAGCCUGGCCUGAUUUGCAGCAGAAAUGGUCUCUGGAGAGGAACCAUUGCCCCAAGGACGGCCUUGACCUCCCAAUUCUCGCAUCAUCUUCCUCGGCUGGAGGAGCAGCGUGAGCAUUAUUUCCAACUCGCACGAGAUGCAGCAGGCUCAGCUGGGAUGGGCUCAAGCCCUUCCGGUUACUGCUGA